rnacentral:rRNA from 1 species
CCUAGGGGGGGCAGCAGUGGGGAAUAUUGGACAAUGGGCGAAAGCCUGAUCCAGCCAUGCCGCGUGUGUGAAGAAGGCCUUCGGGUUGUAAAGCACUUUCAGUGGGGAAGAAAGCCUUGGGGCUAAUACCCUCGAGGAAGGACAUCACCCACAGAAGAAGCACCGGCUAACUCCGUGCCAGCAGCCGCGGUAAUACGGAGGGUGCGAGCGUUAAUCGGAAUUACUGGGCGUAAAGCGCGCGUAGGCGGUCUGAUAAGCCGGUUGUGAAAGCCCCGGGCUCAACCUGGGAACGGCAUCCGGAACUGUCAGGCUAGAGUGCAGGAGAGGAAGGUAGAAUUCCCGGUGUAGCGGUGAAAUGCGUAGAGAUCGGGAGGAAUACCAGUGGCGAAGGCGGCCUUCUGGACUGACACUGACGCUGAGGUGCGAAAGCGUGGGUAGCAAACAGGAUUAGAUACCCGAGUAGUC